rnacentral:lncRNA from 1 species
CGAAAACUUCUCAAAGUCCCUAACAUUUAUCUGACACCUCAACUGUGAAUUUACAUUUCAUUUGCAUGAGUCUCAUGUCUGCAACUAGGUUGUGGUGACCUUGAGAACGAGGGGAUCAAGAGCCUUGUCCAGCACUGGGAGUGGAGGUGGUUGGAAAUCCCGGACCCCCGGUCCACCAGCCUUGGCCUCCUGCAGAUGCUAGGCUCAGGAUGAAGUGCGGCCGAAGACUGCUGGGAAAAGAAAAGAAAGAGCCCUAAUGUGCCAUAUCGGGCAAGCCGUGGGGUGGCCCACUAACUGCUUUUUUAUGAUUGUCACUUACUGGCUCUGAUUUAACCCCACUUAAAGAGUGGUGGCAGCAAUUGUGGAGGGCCUCAAAGGGAGACUGAUGCAAGUGAGGGCAAAGUAUUAUUGGGAACGAGGUCAAAUGGGUGAUGAAUGGGCCAUUAUGAGGAGGGGCAAACUGCCAUCGUUAGGGAUGCUGCAACAAGCUGGACGUUGAUCUAUUGUCCGCUCUGAGAUCCUCCAACAGGCCAUUAUGGCUCCCCUAAUGAGAUUGUCAUGCA